AUUGAACGCUGGCGGCAUGCCUUACACAUGCAAGUCGAACGGUAACAGGUUAAGCUGACGAGUGGCGAACGGGUGAGUAAUGUAUCGGAGCGUGCCCAGUCGUGGGGGAUAACUGCUCGAAAGAGCAGCUAAUACCGCAUACGACCUGAGGGUGAAAGCGGGGGAUCGCAAGACCUCGCGCGAUUGGAGCGGCCGAUAUCCGAUUAGGUAGUUGGUGAGGUAAAGGCUCACCAAGCCGACGAUCUGUAGCUGGUCUGAGAGGACGACCAGCCACACUGGGACUGAGACACGGCCCAGACUCCUACGGGAGGCAGCAGUGGGGAAUUUUGGACAAUGGGCGCAAGCCUGAUCCAGCCAUGCCGCGUGCGGGAAGAAGGCCUUCGGGUUGUAAACCGCUUUUGUCAGGGAAGAAAAGGUUCUGGCUAAUACCUGGGACUCAUGACGGUACCUGAAGAAUAAGCACCGGCUAACUACGUG
rnacentral:rRNA from 1 species